CAGAAGCUUACAUUUAUUUAGGCUCAGGUUUUUAAAGCAAGGUUUAUUGAUCAAAGUAUUCAGAAAAUGGACUUAAUCAUAAGUGCAACAAUUCAAAAGUUUAACUUUUUUAAACUCAUAAAAAGGUCUUGGGCCAGUAACAUAGCUGACCGAAACUGACAACCUGAGUUCAGACUUCAGACCCCACAAUGUACGAGAGAAAUAAG